CAGCAGCCAAGGCAGAAGGGGUUCCCUGCCAGAAAGAAGAGACAAACUGUCCUGCCAGAAAGAAAAGAGAAGCAGAGCCGGGAGGCCAGAGCAGAGUUGGUCACCACCGGGUGGCAGAGAACCCUGCUACAGCAAGAAGUCCUGAGGGCCUGAUCCAGAGACACGGUUCAGCUCUAGCCCACCAACUCCUUUGAGUUUGACAUCCCUGUUCCACAAGAUAGGGACAAGUGCUGAAGCCUGAAAGGAAGGAAACAGCACCGUGUACAGGGAACAUGUGAAGCUUGCAGAUGUUGCUGCUAUUGAAAGAAGUUCAGAGAUGCUGGGAGAGCGAUAGAUGAAGUGUUUGCUCUAAGUACAUUAUUGUUAUUAUUAUUAUCCAGUAUACAUUGUCCCUGGUUUUUAAAGUCCUCAUCUUAAAGACCCAUAAACUGAAAACUUCAUAGAAAAGAACAAUACAAAUUCAAUCUUAAUCCUAAAUUUAUUAUAAUUAUUAUUUUAUUGAAAGCAAAGGAAUGAUUGUCUUUUACUUUGCCCCCUUGCUUCUAAAGAUAUUUAAAACUAUGCCCAACUCUUUGCAAAUUUGAAUAGCUCAUGUUAAAAAUUCACUGUUUUAGAUUUAACAGUCCCAGUAGUGCAGCCUUGUAUCAGCUCAGGUGAAUGGUAAGAGCAGAUACUCAAAUACUAUA